rnacentral:rRNA from 1 species
GGUAUGCACUGGCUUCGCUGAUUCCUCCUUUCUGAAGAACUGUAAUGCCAUUAAUUUGGUGUUGCAGGGAAACAGGACUGUUACUUUGAAAAAAUUAGAGUGUUUAAAGCAGGCAAACGCUUGAAUACAUUAGCAUGGAAUAAUGAAAUAGGACGUUCGAACCUAUUUUGUUGGUUUCUAGGUACAACGUAAUGAUUAAUAGGGAUAGUUGGGGGCAUUAGUAUUCAAUUGUCAGAGGUGAAAUUCUUGGAUUUAUUGAAGACUAACUACUGCGAAAGCAUUUGCCAAGGAUGUUUUCAUUAAUCAAGAACGAAAGUUAGGAGAUCGAAGACGAUCAGAUACCGUCGUAGUCUUAACCAUAAACUAUGCCGACUAGGGAUCGGAUGAAGUUAAUUUUUUAAUG